UCAGAAUGAUGGACUACAAAAAAGUACUGGAUAAUUCGCUCAGCGAUCUUGAGCCUUUAUUGAAGAAAUCACUUCUGGGAAAACGAUUAGCUCAACAUCUUUCAUCUCCCCAAAAAGCAAUGAUUGAAAAAAUUGACAAAGAAGAGUUGGAUAGAUUCCAAAAUUUCAGAGAGAGCGCAUUUAAUUGUUUGGACCGGAUUAUUCUAGCCGCUAAUGAAGACUAUCAGUUUCAAAUAAAAGCACGAUCCACCGAAGAGCUACAAGCCCCAGUUUACAUGCUGAACAAGCAGAAGAAAAGCUUGAUUCGACAGAAUGAUGCUGUUUUACCUUGGGCCUCGAAAGAUAAGGAAGUGAAGCUAGAAGCCAAAAGUCCAGUAGAUUCGAGUUCCAGAAUAAGCGGAAGUUGUAUGGCCUCGGGUAGAGGAAGAAGCCUAUUGAAUCCCCCGACCACUGCGAAAAAACCAAAGCGCAAAUCUAGAGUGAUUCAUAAAAAAAGUUCAAUGGGAAAAUCAGCGAAAAAAGCCUUAUUCAGGAAAUCGAUGAAAGCGGCGAUCAAGAAAGAAGUUAACGUAUAUGCCACGCCAAAAGGAAGCACAUGUCUUAUGGUGAGGUACCCUCCAGGCGUACAAGCCAGGAAAUCCGUGCUGCAGAAAAGAGCCGAAGAAUUGUUUGUAGAUUUUGAAAGUGAAUUUUGAAGAAAAAAUGGAAUUGUAUGCAAAUAUAAACUUGGUAGUUUAAUCGUUUGGUAAGCCAAAGGCUGAUUUUUUGUUGUUUAAUUGCAAAAUUGCUAUUUGUGUGGCGUAGUUUGUUAUUGAUGAUUUUUUGAAUGA